rnacentral:rRNA from 1 species
CCUACGGGAGGCAGCAGUCGAGAAUCAUUCACAAUGGGGGAAACCCUGAUGGUGCGACGCCGCGUGGGGGAAUGAAGGUCUUCGGAUUGUAAACCCCUGUCAUGUGGGAGCAAAUUAAAAAGAUAGUACCACAAGAGGAAGAGACGGCUAACUCUGUGCCAGCAGCUGCGGUAAUACAGAGGUGUCAAGCGUUGUUCGGAAUCACUGGGCGUAAAGCGUGCGUAGGCGGGUUCGUAAGUAGUGUGUGAAAGGCGAGGGCUCAACCCGCGGACGGCACAUGAUACUGCGAGACUAGAGUAAUGGAGAGGUAACCGGAAUUCUCGGUGUAGCAGUGAAAUGCGUAGAUAUCGAGAGGAACCCUCGUGGCGAAGGCAGGUUCCUGGACAUUAACUGACGCUGAGGCACGAAGGCCAGGGGAGCGAAAGGGAUUAGAUACCCUUGUAGUC